UUUCGUUAACGUCAAUACUGAAAAAAGGUACUGGGUCUGCGUCGCGGUGUUUACUUAAAGUGAGGACUUCGGGAUGAUGGACCUGAUGAGAGAACGCGACCCGAAGAAUUGUAGAAACGAGUUUGCGUAAGUGAAGAACGCCGAUAAAGUACUCAAAGAGUAAAAGUACUCAAAAGCAAAAAACUCGACGAUACUGUUGUUCAUGGCAACUGUCUGUGGCUUGUUCCAUAUUUGUGUAAUACUUUUGGACGCCGCCUAUCCUAGUUGAACUUUACGUCCUCGUUGAGUUGAUGGUGUAAUCCGUGUUGUUGGCUUUUUGUAGAUGUUUUAUUUAUAGGGAUUUUCUAGGCUGAUUGUAAAGCUCCCACAGGAGCUUGUAAGAAGACCUGAAAUCUACUUUCAAUGGAUGACGUUCCAUAAUGUUUUUUAGCACUGCUGUUGUGCUGACAACAGUCCAAAAC